GUCUCUGAGCCCCCUGCCAGGGUCUGGAGGCAGCCAGGACAGCCAGAGGGAUGUGCUGGACUCUGACACUGGGGCUUCCAGCCCGCUGAUGCAAUGCACUGCCAUUUCUGAGUUUGCUUCAUUUGCAUUUAAACAAUCAAGUGUUUUAAUUAAAAUGCAUAAAUGAAUCAUCCACUAAGAAGCCCUAUCUCCCAUGUUAUUUAUUUUUUAUAUUAAACCUUCAAUUUGAUGGAUAAGCACUGCCAUUGGUCAUUUCUGCUGAAAUGAUCCCAUCAGCAGUGAAAUAUUUGACAAAUCUGAUGUUAAAUUUUUCAUCUCUAGCUUUCAGCACUUGUGGUCCAUUGAGAUAAAUAGUACAGCUCACACUUUUGAUCUAUUCUUUGAAGCUCUCUGGGACCAGCUCUCUGUUAAAGAGGGAGAGGCACAGGUCAGGGGAUGUUUUGAGAUGCAAACAGUGCUCUCCUGAUGGCUCUCAGACAUGGCCCAGCACAUCCACCGUGACAAGAGUGUCCUCUCCUUCUUCAGUGUGUUCCAUCUGUGACAACGCUCUCCUUUCUCUGUAGUGACAGAAUUUGGGGGUUUGGCACUCAUCUGUUGAUAAAACAGGAAGGAAUGUGGAUCUCCUCCUAAGUGAAACCCAUAUUCUUUAUGCUUUUACUUUUUUAAUCAUUAUUUUUACCCUGUAACAGUGGUAUCUGCAGUCAUCACAGGUGAUCCUCCUCCUUCUGGAACAUGCUACUUUGCAGUAUGGCACUGCACAUUUAACUCCAAGGAAUAUAAUUUGUCCUAAGAACUGCAUCCCACAGAGAAUAAAGCAGAAAACACACUCUGCUGGUAGCUUCUCUCAAAGGAUUAGUGUAAAACUAAGCUAAUAACAAUGCAACAUUCCUUCAAAAACUGAAAUUUUGCUCACAUGCUAAGAAGCUGUAAGAGUAACAGCAUCAUCUGGUGGCUUCUGCCACAAAGAAUGGAUUAAUUGAUUUUUUUUGUUCUACUUUCAUUUAAAUUCCUCAUCUCUCAGGUGAGGCCAGGUCCUGAAGGAAUGUGUGAGAGGAGAAACAGACGGAAAAUGAUAAAAACGAGAGAAGGUAAUAAUGAAAUCCUCAGCUAUACUGAAACAUUAAACUGCAUGUGAUAUCUCAGAUCUUUUUAAAAAGAUUUUUUAAAGAACAUUGAAAAACACCAUCCUCAUUGAAGUCAAGCUUCAUUUACAGCAAUGCCAGAUGGGUUGGGAUUUUCGAAGCAUACAUUAAGAGCAGGAACGAAGCUGCUAAAGGCCUUGAACCUUAGAUAAGGAUUGGUGUAAACCUCCACGAAAUCUUAAAGACAAUUCCUUUUCAUCAUUUCUUUUGUAAGUGCCAAAUCAGACCCUUCCAACUCCUCCUUCACCUUCCUUUUGGAAUUCUUCUUACUGAACUUCUUACCACUUGGAGAGGCGGUGUGUAAAAAUGAGAUGAAUGUGUAUUAGCUUGCAAAAGGGUUUUCACUGUGCAGGAUUGCAUGGUGAUUAUGGGGCAAAACGAGCUAAUCCCAAAGCUCCCAGCUGAGGCUGGUGCAGUACCAGAGGCUGAAGCAGCCUGCCUGAGCUAUAAACCUCCCCAGCCUGAACGGGCUGGAGCACUCCCAGAAAUGCCCAAGGGCCCCAGAAGGAGUUCCCCACAAUCCAGACAAAGCACAAGGGCCAUACCAGCCCAGAGAACCCCAAGAGUUCAGGAUUAGUUGUUGCAAAAGCUUAUUAACAAGGCAGUAACAUGAAAAUUAUUCCUUCUGGCUUUAUUGGUGCGCAGUGUCUGUUUUACACUCAUAUAGUUUCUGUCCUAUCCUUGGCAGUUGUCUUCUUUGUUGUAUUCUUACAAAGAGAGAAAUAUCAAAACAUUAAUUUAAGCUGUCACAAUGCAAAGGGCUGACAGUCAUAUAAAGAAUUAUCAUUGUGGCAGAGAAUGGAGACAAGUUAGUGAAGGAAAAUUAAAGUGACUAGCUAAACAGAACCAAACUUCUUGAAAAAUCCAGGAUAUUGCCAUGACAAUUCAAAUAGCUCCAACUUUUUCCUUUUUGUGUUUUUCAGCUCUUUCCUACACAGACUAUUAUCAAUCUGAUGGGGAAAAGAAAGAAAAAGAAAUCACUUCAUAUGAACUCUAGUUUUAGUGAAAUAUGUAUUUCAAAAGAGAAGAUUCAUUCUGUACCAGUUUGUGAAUAAGAUAAAUUGCAACAAACAUCAAUCUUUGUAAUUUUCCAUAAUUGUAGAGGUCAGACUGACCAAGAUUACAGCCUGUCUAAUCCUUCUUGCCAAUGCAUACAAUAUAGAAAUGUUUCUUUGUCCUAUCCAGGUCUCUUAUGGAAAACAAAAAUGAUUCCUUUUUACCGAACAGUAAGAUUCCUGCAGGUGGUGGCUCGGUGUAUCAAAUUGUCCAAGAUUAAUUUUAAUUGGUUUACAAAUAAGAAGAGACUGGUUAAAAGAAGAAAAUAACCACUUUGCUCUUGUGUUCUGCCGUUCAGCUGUAGCUCUUGGGACAUUUCACUCCGUCUCUGAAGCCAGCAGGAGCACGAGAGCCUCGGGGUGCACAUCCAUGCCCAGCAAGCCAGACCUGCACUCUAACUUGCUUUCUCUGGGAAGGAAAAUCAAUGAAACCUUCUCUGUAGGACAACUUUCCAGCGGGGAGAACAACACUUAUCCUGUGCUCUGGCCUCUCACCAUAAGCUGCCCUCCUCAUGAGAGGAGGAUGGUAAGAAUUGAAUGCAAAGAGUUGGAGAAACAUCCCAAAUUCCACACAGUGUCCGCUCCUCCAGCAAUGCGGUGUGGAUUGAGGCACUCAGCAGUGCAGGGGCUAGCAGAUCAGAUUACUAAUGAAGCAGCAGUCCACAAGAUUGCUUUAUACAGCCUAAAUUCAUAAUUAAUUCCCAUACACACAAGCAAUCACGGAGUUUGCUCAGCUAGCACAUCAAAACCUGAGCAGAGCACCAAAGGCUGAGCAAAUCGCUCUUCCCAAGGUGGAUGGAUGAGAGGCUUACAUGACUAAUGCCAGCAGGACAGAGGCACGGAGCUCCCUGUGGAUGUAAGGACAUAAGAUCCUUUCCACUUGCUCAUCAUCCUUACCUGUCCUUAACACUGUAAUCCUGGAAUUAGGCAGGCAGGCUGUCUGGGGCUGCACAGCAGGCUGUGUGCACUUGCAGCAGGCUGUGUGCAUUUGCAGCAGGCUGAGUGCAUUUGCAGCAGGCUGUGUGCAUUUGCAGCAGGCUGUGUGCACUUACAGCAGGCUGCAUGCACUUGCAGCAGGCUGCAUGCACUUGCAGCAGCAGCAGCCACUCAAUUCAGCCAAGCCCAAGGUGCCAGCACUGCCUGCCAGAGCAGUCUGCCCAAGGCCUGAUGUGUCCCUGCAGGGCUGGACCUUCUGCACGCUGAAACCACGCCUAAAGCACUGCAAAAAAAACCCCAACAAACUAGGGAAGGACUGCAAUCACUGUACUUCUCCAGAUAAAUCAGAUGUACAUUAGGAGCUGGGAAAGCAGACAAGAAAACACUUAGAAAUGUAAUAAAUGUGAAUAGCUGCAGUUACACAAAAUGUAGAUUCAUACCUCUAAUUGUAUCAAUUAUUUUUUAUGAUUGUGAUCUCAAAGAUGUUAAGUUUUGCUAAGAAGAUGCAUUUUCAAGUUACUUUGAUUACUAUGAAUAGUGGGAAUGUAUUUAAAAGCUUCUGCAUAUUCACUUUGGCCCUCUGAUCCCCCUUUGCAGCAUCCUGAAUCAGCUGGCAGAACAUUAGGCACUUCAGAUACGUCUACUUGAAGCAUUCAGACAAUCCUGGAAUUAUUUGGGCUACUCAAAUGGAGAGCCUUUGUCCAAGCUGUCUUUUCACUGAUCCCAGGGUUCUUAUGACUGAUUUUGCUUUUCACAUUUUUCUCUCUCUUUCAUUUUUUAAUCAGAUAUGUUUUACUGGGAGGAAGAAUUUGACCAUUUUCUAUUGUAUUCUAAGAAAUAAGCCUACUACACCAAGCAUUCAAGAAACAAAUUUCAGCAGGAAGGUUGAUGGGAUGCUGUAUACCAAGUAAAGAAGAAAUACUGUUUAAUUAUCUUCCAUAUAAAAUCCAAUAAAACGUU